AUUGAACGCUGGCGGCAGGCCUAACACAUGCAAGUCGAACGGUAACAGGAAGAAGCUUGCUUCUUUGCUGACGAGUGGCGGACGGGUGAGUAAUGUCUGGGAAACUGCCUGAUGGAGGGGGAUAACUACUGGAAACGGUAGCUAAUACCGCAUAACGUCGCAAGACCAAAGAGGGGGACCUUCGGGCCUCUUGCCAUCGGAUGUGCCCAGAUGGGAUUAGCUUGUUGGUGGGGUAACGGCUCACCAAGGCGACGAUCCCUAGCUGGUCUGAGAGGAUGACCAGCCACACUGGAACUGAGACACGGUCCAGACUCCUACGGGAGGCAGCAGUGGGGAAUAUUGCACAAUGGGCGCAAGCCUGAUGCAGCCAUGCCGCGUGUAUGAGGAAGGCCUUCGGGUUGUAAAGUACUUUCAGCGGGGAGGAAGGGAGUAAAGUUAAUACCUUUGCUCAUUGACGUUACCCGCAGAAGAAGCACCGGCUAACUCCGUG
rnacentral:rRNA from 1 species